AAUAGUUUUUUAAAUGGAGACUGGAAUGAAAGAAGUGAUGAGAUUUAUACUGUCUUAGAUUAAAUUAUUAAAUUUAUUAAUUAAGUAAAAAUGCUUAGAUAAAAAUAUGGGACGAGAAGACCCUAUAGAAUUUUAUAUAAAUUUAUUAUUAAGAUUAUAAAAUAAUGUUAGUAGAUUUAUAUUUUGUUGGGAGGAUAGUUAAAUUAAAUAAACUUUAAUAAGAGUAAAGUCAUUAGUGAAUGAUUUAUGAAAGAUGAAUGGCUGUUUAGUUUAAGUAGAAUUAAUUACCUUAGGGAUAACAGCGUAAUAUUUUUAGAGAGAUCUUAUUGAUAAAAAUGAUUGC
rnacentral:rRNA from 1 species